rnacentral:misc_RNA from 1 species
GAUGAAGAACGUAGCGAAAUGCGAUAAGUAAUGCGAAUUGCAGAAUUUCCGUGAGUCAUCGAAUCUUUGAACGCACAUUGCGCCCACUGGUAUUCCGGUGGGCAUGCCUGUUCGAGCGUCAUUAUCCUCCCUCAAACCCCGGGUUUGGUGUUGGACCCAAGUUGUGUGAACAACUGGUCUCAAAGACAAUGACGGCGUCCGUGGGACCCUCGGUGCAACGAGCUUUUAGGAGCACGCAUCGAGUUGCAAGGACCUUCCGGGCCGGUCUCCUUUACCAUUUUACAAUGUUGACCUCGGAUCAGGUAGGAAUACCCGCUGAACUUAAGCAUAUCAAUAAGCGGAGGA